GAUGAACGCUGACAGAAUGCUUAACACAUGCAAGUCAUUGGCGAAGCUGCGCUUGCGCAGUCUAGCCAAGGCGGACGGGUGAGUAACGCGUCAGGAACUUGCCCUGCAGACAGGGAUAACAGACGGAAACGACUGAUAGCACCUGGUAUUGUCAGGCUGGCGCAUGCCGGCCUGAUGAAAGGAGACGCUGCAGGAGAGCCUUGCGUCCUAUUAGCCAGUUGGUGGGGUAAGGGCCCACCAAGGCGAGGAUUGGUAGCCGGCCUGAGGGGGUGAACGGCCACAGGGGGACGGAGAUACGGCACUGACUCCUGCGGGAGGCAGCAGUGGGGAAUAGUGGACAAGGGGGGCAACCCUGAUCCAGCAAUUCUGUGUGCACGAAGAAGGUUUGCGGAGUGUAAAGUGCUUUCAGCAGGGAAGAAGAAAGUGACGGUACCUGCAGAAGAAGCGACGGCUAAAUACGUG
rnacentral:rRNA from 1 species